GGAAAGGGGAAAUGUCUGAAAUGGAGAUUGUACAAUCCUGUCUUGAAGCAGAAGACUCAGCUAGAGCACAUCUGGAAACACCCGGCAUUCCUCAAUAUAAUUCAAAUGAUAUUUUAAAAGAUGUAAAAUCUGAGCUGCAACACUGAACAAAAGCUGUAUUUGCCAGUCAGCAAAGAUGCUACCACUCUGCACAACAGAUAAAACCCAUAUAUAUAGGGAAGUCAAAAGAGUCUUUAAGCUACAGUGUU
rnacentral:antisense_RNA from 1 species